UCCGCUGUGACCAAAAUUUUGCUAUCUGCUCAUUAAUUAAGACAGGCUACUUCCGAAUCCUAGAUAUAGAACAGUCUUGCUCAGUCUAUAUAAAUCCAUCUUCAUCCACCUCCUAAUUUCAUCCUAUUUCCUACUGUCAAAAUUUUCCAUUUUCAACUUUCAGCAUGAACAAAAUCUCCCUGCAAAUGAUGUUGGUUGUUUCGCUUGUCCUGGUUUUUGCUCAAUGGAUAAACUUUGGCGUGGUUGUGGAGGUGGCUGAAUCAGGGGCCGACCCGCCUGAGAAAACGAGAGUCUUCCCCUUCCAGUACCCAAAGCUUAACAGCUCCAAUGUCAGUUAUGCUUCUGAGCUAAAGAAUAAAUUUUGUAAAUGUAUAUUUUGCGUGUGCAAUUGUCCUUGCGCCUAUUGCGGCUGUAAGAAUCCACCUGCAAAUGUCCUUCCACCUGUUGCAGAUGUAAAUGAUUAAAAACUUCAGAAAGAUGGUGGAACCUUAAUUAGUAAUGAAUAAAAUUGGUGGGAAUUUCCAUAAUUUUCAGUGAAGGGCACUGGUGGAUCCUUGUGGGUUCACUUCAUGGCUUAACAAUGAUGAAUAGCUUGAAGGGCUUCAACAUAUUACACAGAAGUAAGCUUGAAUUAUUUUGUCAGAUUGACUCAAUUGAUGUUUUUCUCUCACCGUUUCUUAAAUUUCAUCCUUAAUUUUUCUGUAAGGUGCUAGUUAAUAAUUUUAUUGUGCUUGUGCAAACCUUGCGAGUAUUGUGGG
rnacentral:lncRNA from 1 species